AUGUCCGACCGCCGCCGCGACAAGGAGAGGCCCCGCGAGCGCGGCGGCUACGACCAGCCGCGGGAGCGCGACCACGACGCCGACCGCCACCGCGACCGGGACCGGGACNNNNNNNNNNNCCGGGACUACCGCCGCGCCCGCAAGCGCUCCCGCUCCCCCUCCCCCUCGGCCGACAGGGACCGCUCCCGCCGCCGCCGCUCCCACUCCCACUCCCACCCCCACCGGUCCCGCUCCCCCGACGCCGGCCGCCACAAGCGCCGCCGCGAGGUGUCGCCCGUCGCCGACCCGAAGGAGGACAGGAAGCCGGACCCCCCCUCCGCCCCCAAGGCCGCCGAGGAGCCGGCCCCGGUUGGUGACGGGGACGUGGACGCCGAGGAGCUGGAGAUGAUGAAGAUGAUGGGGAUCCCCGUCGGGUUCGACUCCACCAAGGGUAAGUACGUCCCCGGCGCCGACGUCAGCGGCGUGCGCGCCGUCACCAAGCGCCAGCCGCGGCAGUACAUGAACCGCAGGGGCGGGUUCAACCGUCCCCUGCCGCCCGAGGUCAACCGCUGA
rnacentral:rRNA from 1 species